GCUCACAACACCUAGAGGACUGGAAGUGAUAAGAAGAGAAACUAGCACCGCUCAUCUCCAAUCGCUUGCUUGGAUGAGGACCUUCGGAGCUCUCGAAGAAGAAGCUAUAGCCAAGGCUCAAGAAGCCGACUCCUCUAAGAAAAGAAAACUACUACAGAAAUAGCAAUAAGGGCACAAGAGAUAACAAAGUCAUAACUUGGAGAGCUUCCGGAGAGAAUGGAUUGGCAGAGCUCAAAUGGCGUCAAUGCCAUAUGGGGUUACCCGGCUAACAGAUGAAGCCAAUUAUAGGACCCUUGAGGUGUCGGUCCUCACGGCAAUCACAACUCACCCUCCCAUCGGGCCAGGUUCAGCCAGCUAAACCAAGCCAAACUCAGGGCUCUAUUUGAUAUUAUCAUUACAUUUUUUUUUUUGUUAAUUUUAUGAGUUUAUUCCUUUUUUUUUAUAAUUGUUCACUGAAAAAGAAAAUUGCAUUCUCUAUCUAUAAUUAUAUAUAAAAAAGUAGGAAGGAAAACAUUAGUACCAAAAGUAACUUUUAUGAUUUAUAUUAUUUACAAAUUAUAAAUAAAAAUGUAUCUUUAAUGUAUUUUUUUGUUAUAACAUAAAUUAGUGAUGAAGAAAUGGUCACUUCACUAAUUACCUUUAGUAAUA
rnacentral:misc_RNA from 1 species